GCGCUCUUAGUUCAGCCCGGUAGAACGUAGGUCUCCAAAACCUAAUGCCGUAGGUUCAAAUCCUACAGAGCGUG
rnacentral:tRNA from 4 species